rnacentral:rRNA from 1 species
GCAUAUCAAUAAGCGGAGGAAAAGAAACCAACAGGGAUUGCCCUAGUAACGGCGAGUGAAGCGGCAACAGCUCAAAUUUGAAAUCUGGCUCUUUCAGAGUCCGAGUUGUAAUUUGCAGAGGGCGCUUUGGCGUUGGCAGCGGUCCAAGUUCCUUGGAACAGGACGUCACAGAGGGUGAGAAUCCCGUACGUGGUCGCUAACCUUCGCCGUGUAAAGCCCCUUCGACGAGUCGAGUUGUUUGGGAAUGCAGCUCUAAAUGGGAGGUAAAUUUCUUCUAAAGCUAAAUACUGGCCAGAGACCGAUAGCGCACAAGUAGAGUGAUCGAAAGAUGAAAAGCACUUUGGAAAGAGAGUCAAAUAGCACGUGAAAUUGUUGAAAGGGAAGCGCUUGCAGCCAGACUUGCCUGUAGUUGCUCAUCCGGGCUUUUGCCCGGUGCACUCUUCUGCGGGCAGGCCAGCAUCAGUUUGGGCGGUUGGAUAAAGAUCUCUAUCACGUACCUCUCUUCGGGGAGGCCUUAUAGGGGAGAUGUCAUACAACCAGCCUGGACUGAGGUCCGCGCAUCUGCUAGGAUGCUGGCGUAAUGGCUGUAAGCGGCCCGUCUUGAAACACGGACCAAGGAGUCUAACAUCUAUGCGAGUGUUUGGGUGUCAAGCCCGAGCGCGUAAUGAAAGUGAACGGAGGUGGGAACCCUUAAGGGUGCACCAUCGACCGAUCCUGAUGUCUUCGGAUGGAUUUGAGUAAGAGCAUGGCUGUUGGGACCCGAAAGAUGGUGAACUAUGCUUGAAUAGGGUGAAGCCAGAGGAAACUCUGGUGGAGGCUCGCAGCGGUUCUGACGUGCAAAUCGAUCGUCAAAUUUGGGCAUAGGGGCGAAAGACUAAUCGAACUAUCUAGUAGCUGGUCUG